rnacentral:rRNA from 1 species
GGGCCCGCACAAGCAGCGGAGCAUGUGGUUUAAUUCGAGGCAACGCGAAGAACCUUACCUAGACUUGACAUCUCCUGAAUUACCCUUAACCGGGGAAGCCCUUCGGGGCAGGAAGACAGGUGGUGCAUGGUUGUCGUCAGCUCGUGUCGUGAGAUGUUGGGUUAAGUCCCGCAACGAGCGCAACCCUUAUUGUCAGUUGCUACCAUUUAGUUGAGCACUCUGGCGAGACUGCCCGGGUUAACCGGGAGGAAGGUGGGGAUGACGUCAAAUCAUCAUGCCCCUUAUGUCUAGGGCUACACACGUGCUACAAUGGCGAGUACAAAGAGAAGCGAGAUAGCGAUAUGGAGCAAACCUCAUAAAACUCGUCCCAGUUCAGAUUGCAGGCUGAAACUCGCCUGCAUGAAGUUGGAGUUGCUAGUAAUCGCGAAUCAGCAUGUCGCGGUGAAUACGUUCCCGGGCCUU